AAACUCAACCGCUAGCCACCACCUCAGAACUGAACCCCGCACCCGGCCUGGUAACGGGCUGUUGUGAAGCUGGGGGGAUGGGAUACCAGGCCACAAUCGAAAGGUGAAGGUUAUAAGCCCCGAAAUUCUGAUGAUUCUGGAAGCCGACGUUGUCUGUGUGACGGAAGGCAGCAUUCACACCACCGUUAGUCCAAUCCUCCGGUCUUGGAAUAUAGCAGGGAGUUCUGGGACAUUGCGAGGUGGUGUGAGUCCAGCGGGGUCUAAGACCG
rfam:Desulfuromonadales bacterium C00003096 3datasets_contig_13990.2, whole genome shotgun sequence.